ACACGUGAAACCCGGUGGGAAUAUGGGGGGACCAUCCUCCAAGCCUAAAUACUACUCGGUGACCGAUAGUGAAGAAGUACUGUGAAGGAAAGGUGAAAAGUACCCCUGACGGGGAGUGAAAAAGAACCUGAAACCUUGUGUUUACAAGCACCGAAAGCUCAUCAAAGAGCGAUCGGGUACCUUUUGUAGAAUGGUCCGGCGAGUGAAUGUAACCGGCGAGGUUAAGCACUUAAGGUGUGAAGCCGCAGCGAGAGCAAGUCUGAAUAGGGCGUAUGAAGUCGGUUGUAUUCGACCCGAAACCGGGUGACCUACCCAUGGUCAGGUUGAAGUAAAGGUAAAACUUUAUGGAGGACCGAACCGACUCCCGUUGAAAUGGUAGCGGAUGAACUGUGGGUAGCGGAGAAAUUCCAAUCGAACCCGGAGAUAGCUGGUUCUCCCCGAAAUAGUUUUAGGACUAGCCUCAAGUUAGAUACCUGGAGGUAAAGCACUGAAUAGCCUAGCGGCCGAGAGGUUAGCGAAGCUUAUCAAACUCAGAAUGCCAGAGUAUUGAUGCUUGGGAGUCAGACAGUGUCAGAUAAAUGUCAUUGUCAAAAGGGAAACAGCCCAGAUCUACAGCUAAGGUCCCAAAGUCAGGUUAAGUGGAAAACGAUGUGAAGAUACGCAGACAACCAGGAUGUUGGCUCAGAAGCAGCCACUCAUUCAAAGAGUGCGUAAUAGCUCACUGGUCGAGCGUCUUUGCGCGGAGAAUUUAACGGGGCUAAACCUGACACCGAAGCUUAGGCAAUACAGCAAUGUAUUGGGUAGGGGAGCGUUGUAUACGCGGUGAAACAGUAGCGCAAGCGGCUGUGGAGUGUAUAGAAGUGAGAAUGCCGGAAUGAGUAGCGCGAAUGCAGUGAGAAUCUGCAUGGCCGAAAGCCUCAGGUUUCUGGAGGAAGGUUCGUCCGCUCCAGGUUAGUCGGGAGCUAAGGUGAGGCCUAACGGCGUAGCCGAUGCACAGACGGUAGAGAUUCCGUCACCACCAAAAGAGUUAAACACAGGGACACAUUUGAAGUCUCGGAGCCGGGUGUUGGUUCCGGUAGCGAUCGAGGGAAGUUAGUACCGAAGUCCGGGAUGGAAGAUGGCGAGAAAAGCUGUGUGUAUUUCUGCGGUGCCCGUACCGCAAACCGACACAGGUAGGUAGGAAGAAGAUUCUAAGGCCAACGGGAGAAGGGUUGUUAAGGAACUCGGCAAAUUGACCCCGUAACUUCGGGAGAAGGGGUGCUCCAGAGAUGGAGCCGCAGAGAAUCGGCCCAAGCAACUGUUUACCAAAAACACAGGUUUGUGCUAAAUCGAAAGAUGACGUAUACGAGCUGACGCCUGCCCGGUGCUGGAAGGUUAAGAGGAGAUGUGCAAGCAUUGAAUCGAAGCCCCAGUGAACGGCGGCCGUAACUAUAACGGUCCUAAGGUAGCGAAAUUCCUUGUCAGGUAAGUUCUGACCCGCACGAAAGGCGUAAUGAUUUGGGCACUGUCUCAACAGCCCGCCCGGCGAAAUUGUAGUACCGGUGAAGAUGCCGGUUACCCGCGACAAGACGGAAAGACCCCAUGGAGCUUUACUGUAGCCUAAUAUUGGGUUUCGAUGUUGCAUGCACAGGAUAGAUGGGACACAGGGAAACAAGUGCUUUGGCAUUUGUGGAGUGGCCGUUGGGAUACCAUCCUUGCGAUAUUGGAAUUCUAACCUGCGCCUUUGAAUCAAGGCGGGGGACAUUGUUAGGUGGGCAGUUUGACUGGGGCGGUCGCCUCCUAAAGAGUAACGGAGGCGCUCAAAGGUUCGCUCUGCAUGGAUGGAAACCAUGCGUCAGAGUGUAAACGCAAAAGCGAGCCUAACUGCGAGAAUGACGGUUCGAGCAGUAACGAAAGUUGGAGUUAGUGAUCCGGCGGUAUGUGAAUGGAAAUGC
rnacentral:rRNA from 1 species